UACAGAGGUCCCAAGCGUUGUUCGGAUUCACUGGGCGUAAAGGGUGCGUAGGUGGCGCUGUAAGUCGGGUGUGAAAUUUCGGAGCUUAACUCCGAAACUGCAUUCGAUACUGCGGUGCUUGAGGACUGGAGAGGAGACUGGAAUUCAUGGUGUAGCAGUGAAAUGCGUAGAGAUCAUGAGGAAGACCAGUGGCGAAGGCGGGUCUCUGGACAGUUCCUGACACUGAGGCACGAAGGCCAGGGGAGCAAACGGGG
rnacentral:rRNA from 1 species